UGGGGAAUAUUGUUCAAUGGGCGAAAGCCUGAAACAGCAAUGCCGCGUGUAUGAUGAAGGCCUUCGGGUCGUAAAGUACUUUCGACAGGGAAGAAGAAGAUGACGGUACCUGGAGAAGAAGCCACGGCUAAUCACGUGCCAGCAGCCGCGGUAAGACGUGAGUGGCAAGCGUUAUCCGGAAUUACUGGGCGUAAAGAGCGCGUAGGCGGUUUUGAAAGUCAGGGGUGAAAAGUCUGGGCUCAACCGAGGCCUUGCCUUUGAAACUUCAAGACUAGAGUACUGGAUAGGAGGGCGGAACUACAAGUGUAGCGGUGGAAUGCGUAGAUAUUUGUAGGAAUGCCGAUGACGAAGGUAGCUCUCUGGACAGAUACUGACGCUGAGGUGCGAAAGCUAGGGGAGC
rnacentral:rRNA from 1 species